rnacentral:lncRNA from 1 species
GGUCACCAGGCUCUUCCACCUCCACAUCGAUCUGCAUGACCUCGUAGGAGGCGCCAUCCGCACUGGAGAGAAGACACAGAGGAGAACAGCUUUCAGGGACUGAUGAGGAAACCCCGGUGAUGAUGACAGCCAGAGACACACCCCACAACCUCCAAAGAGAUGAUCACAGCCAGAGACAUACCCCACAACCUCCAAAGAGAAGCUGAACUUGCUUCAUGUCUAAGAUCCGUAGUUUACCUUUUUAACAAGUCCUGACCUAAUGUGACUGGUGACCUUAAAAGAAGAGGAGAUUAAGAGACAGGUGCACACAGAGGAAAGAACAUAUGAAGGCAUCGGGAGAAGGCAGCAUCUACAAUCUUCAGAGAGAGGCCUCAGAAGGAUCCAAACCUGCCUGUACCUUGAUUUUGGCCUUCCAGCCUCCAGAACUGUGAGAAAAUAAACUCCUGUUGGUGAAGCA